rnacentral:rRNA from 1 species
UACAGAGGGGGCAAGCGUUAUUCGGAAUUAUUGGGCGUAAAGGGCGCGUAGGCGGCCUGGCAAGUGAAAGGUGAAAUCCCUCGGCUUAACCGAGGAACUGCCUUUCAGACUGCUUGGCUUGAGACCGGGAGAGGUGAGUGGAAUUCCCAGUGUAGCGGUGAAAUGCGUAGAUAUUGGGAGGAACACCAGUGGCGAAGGCGGCUCACUGGACCGGUACUGACGCUGAUGCGCGAAAGCCAGGGGAGCAAACGGG